AUAUUAAUAAGCGGAGGAAAAGAAACUAACAAGGAUUCCCCCAGUAACGGCGAGUGAAGCGGGAAGAGCCCACGUUUGGAAUCUGCCGGGGAACCGGCCGAGUUGUGCGCUGAAGAGGCACGGGAGGCGCAGCGGGCGUGUCCAAGUCUCCUGGAAGGGAGCAUCGCAGAGGGUGAGAAUCCCGUCUGGGCACGGCGGCGAGGCUGGGCCGUGCGCUCGACGAGUCGAGCUGCUUGGGAAUGCAGCUCAAAGGGGUGGUAAACUCCAUCGAAGGCUAAAUAAGCGGCGGGAGACCGAUAGCGCACAAGUA
rnacentral:rRNA from 1 species